GGGAACUUGGCGUAGUCCGGUAGCGCGGCAGCCUCCAGAGCUGUUGGUCGUGGGUUCAAAUCCCCCAGUUCCCACCA
rnacentral:tRNA from 1 species